rnacentral:rRNA from 1 species
UACGGAGGGGGCAAGCGUUGUUCGGAUUUACUGGGCGUAAAGGGUGUGUAGGCGGCUGGAUAAGUCUGGCGUGAAAUCUUCACCGCUCAACGGGAAGGGGUCGCUGGAAACUGUUCAGCUUGAGUAUGGUAGAGGCAAACGGAAUUCCUGGUGUAGCGGUGGAAUGUGUAGAUAUCAGGAAGAACACCGGUGGCGAAGGCGGUUUGCUGGGCCAUUACUGACGCUGAGACACGAAAGCGUGGGGAGCAAACGGG